UACGUAGGUGGCAAGCGUUGUCCGGAUUUACUGGGUGUAAAGGGCGUGUAGCCGGGCUGACAAGUCAGAUGUGAAAUCCGGGGGCUCAACCCCUGAACUGCAUUUGAAACUGUUGGUCUUGAGUAUCGGAGAGGCAGGCGGAAUUCCUAGUGUAGCGGUGAAAUGCGUAGAUAUUAGGAGGAACACCAGUGGCGAAGGCGGCCUGCUGGACCGUAACUGACGUUGAGGCUCGAAAGCGUGGGGAGCAAACAGG
rnacentral:rRNA from 1 species